rnacentral:lncRNA from 10 species
UGCUGCUUCCUGGAGGAAGACAGUCACUCUGUCUCUGCCAACCCAGUUGACCGCAGACAUGCAGGUCUGCUCAGAUGGAAACGUUUUCUUCCAAAUUGUGCUGCACGUUUUUGGCGAGAGCAUGGGGCUGUGCGGCGUCCCCUCCCUGGCGCCCACCUGUGCCCUGCACACUGGCCUGCACUGUGGUGAUCUCGCUUGGCCCCCACCUGAUUCCCGACAUACAGCAGAGGAACCUUAGGCUCAGGUGGAACAGCCUCAACUGAUUCUGUCCCUGAACUUCCGUACACAGCCCUGGAGUCGUCUUAGAGCCAUGAUUUAUUUAACUGUUCUUUCAUUUUACAGAACAUAAAAUGUAUUGUUUCCAACUUUUUUCCUAUGGUAAAUAAUACUAAAGUAAAUAUCUCUGUGCAUGAAUCUUUUUGUAUAUGUUGGAAUAUCCUUAAGAUAAGGCCCCAGAACUAAAAGUACCCUGUCAAAAGGUGAGCAUUUCCGGUUCCCCUGCUGUGCUUUGCUGCGUUGUUCUCUCCUGCUGCAACGUUCUCACUCCACAAUCCUGGGGCAGGGAGGGGAGGCCCAGCUGAGUUUGGAUCAUAA